rnacentral:ncRNA from 2 species
UUCUUAUCCAGAGAGGUGGAGGGACUGGCCCUGUGAAGCCCAACAACCGGCAUUUUAAUAUGUAUCGGUGUUAAUUCCUGCAGAAUAUAGUUCAUAUUCUGGAAGAUAAGAA